rfam:Filimonas lacunae strain DSM 21054 genome assembly, contig: Ga0111651_113
GGUACAGAAGCUAACUUGGUAGAAGCGGCAGUUUGAAAAACUGCAGGAAGUGGAUCGUAACCACUCUGUACCA